AUGGAUUUAUCUCGGACUUCACCAACAUGUUGGCAAGAACGAAGUACUUCAAGCAGUAGAUACGCCUCUGAUUCCCAGUUUCAAAGAAUUUGUAGCUGCCUCGACCCACUGGCGCUCAGCCAUAUGCAAUUUACCCCCACAUUCAUGGAUGAUCCCCAUUAUCCUUGGAUGGAGAAUUGCAAACUUAAUAGUAAUUACUUUCUGGUAAAGUUGCUUAAAAUUUUCUUUGAACUGAUUUUUACAGGUCCUGUAAUGAAGCUUGCAUGGUAUGGUAAGUUUUAUGCAGGUUUGUUGCCUUUGGUUUGUGAUGCCCACUUGAUUGUUUUUGGUUUUGUUAUAGCAGGGUUGCUCUAUGCAUAG